UACGAAGGGGGCUAGCGUUGCUCGGAAUCACUGGGCGUAAAGCGCACGUAGGCGGAUUGUUAAGUCAGGGGUGAAAUCCUGGAGCUCAACUCCAGAACUGCCUUUGAUACUGGCGAUCUCGAGUCCGGGAGAGGUGAGUGGAACUGCGAGUGUAGAGGUGAAAUUCGUAGAUAUUCGCAAGAACACCAGUGGCGAAGGCGGCUCACUGGCCCGGUACUGGACGCUGACGGUGCGAAAGCGU
rnacentral:rRNA from 1 species